rnacentral:rRNA from 1 species
CAGCCGCCACGGGAACACGGAGGGUGCAAGCGUUAAUCGGAAUUACUGGGCGUAAAGCGCACGCAGGCGGUCUGACAAGUCAGAUGUGAAAUCCCCGGGCUUAACCUGGGAACUGCAUUUGAAACUGUCAGGCUGGAGUCUUGUAGAGGGGGGUGGAAUUCCAGGUGUAGCGGUGAAAUGCGUAGAGAUCUGGAGGAAUACCGGUGGCGAAGGCGGCCCCCUGGACAAAGACUGACGCUCAGGUGCGAAAGCGUGGGGAGCAAACAGGAUUAGAUACCCCAGUAGUCCCUGUCUUUUAUAC